CAGGAGACAAUGAUGUGGAGGAGAGAUUAUAAUAAUUCGCCAGCAGCAAAAUGAUUCAGAAUUACUGCCCGGAAAACUAGUGCACACAUGAGAUUGAACAUCAUGCAGUAGAACUUAGAAGAGAUAUUUCAGUGCUUCUUCAAAUUCAGUGGAUCUUACCAAAACUUCUGAGCCUACUGAAACCUAACAAGCACGUCUCUAACAUUCAGUUUGCAAAAUGGACAACUCUUCUAUACACUUGGACAAUCACAAAAGCUAUCCAACAUUCAGUUAACCAACAAAAGUUACCGUUACUGUCCUGCACCUUGUCCAAGCAGAUAAAGUAUAAUUAAUGUUAGCAAAUGACGAGAAUAGGAUUUACCUAUCAAAAUUUUAAAACGAAAGCCUACCUUGAGCAUUUCCACCAAAAAGCCUCAAUCGCAAACACUUCAACGCCAUCGUGUGCUCAGCUUUCGCAUUGUCACUCAGCCCAUUGGUGUUAGCAAGAAGGAGCUCUUUGUAGGCUUCGACUCUGAACGUGAGGAAGUCUC
rnacentral:lncRNA from 1 species